AUUCUUAUAGUUUAGUUUAAAAUAUAAUAUUGAAAAUAUUAAGAUAUUUCUUUAAGAGUA
rnacentral:tRNA from 1 species